UACAGAGACUGCAAGCGUUAUUCGGAUUCACUGGGCGUAAAGGGUGCGCAGGCGGCCGUGUGUGUCAGGUGUGAAAUCCCGGGGCUUAACCCCGGAACUGCGCCUGAAACUACACGGCUAGAGUAUUGGAGAGGGUAGCGGAAUUCACGGUGUAGCAGUGAAAUGCGUAGAUAUCUGGAGGAACACCGGUGGCGAAGGCGGCAUCCUGGACCGGUAUUGACGCUGAGGCGCGAAAGCCAGGGGAGCAAACGGG
rnacentral:rRNA from 1 species